AAUCUACAUGUGCUCGGGGUUCUGUCACUGUCGUCACGUUACCAAGAGAUUCGUAAACUUGUAGAAAGUUUUGUAAAUUUGCAGACAGAGAUUCGCAAAUAGAGAUUGUAUUUGAGCAGUUCUGGGGGCAGGACCUUUUACUCCUGACCAAUCCGUUUCCUCUGCCAAAACCACAGACAUCUAACCAUUGGCUGGAAUGUUCCAUCAAUUUAAAUCUCAGGAAGUAGCUACCCACAUGAGCAAAAGAGGAUGAGGUAAAUCAAACCAAAACAAGCUACUUGAAGGUUGAAGCACAUCCCCAACACCCAGACAGACACCAGGUGCUACAGAGGCAGAAUAUUCCAAGAACCUCCACAGCCAUCUGACCACCUACCUGCGAUCUCUCCACAGCACAGAGAAGUGAGUCUGCUGGGCUGUGGAACUCUAGAGCAGCACAUCAACGAACCUGCCACCCUGUCAGCAGACAGUUCCCAGAGGAAGGAUGCAACUAUCAAGGCUGUAAAUGGUCACAUUUGGGGGAUGACCACCAAAUGCAAUAAAGUUUUGUAUAAACUACUCAUGUUUUUAUUUUACUUUAAUAGGUUACAAAACAUAACUUUUUCAUGGCCUGUUGGUCUUUUCAUUUUUACUAAACGACUAAGAUAACUUAAACAUCAGACCACAGGCAGAAAACACUGCGAGCUUAUGGUUCAAGAAGCUCUCAGAAUCAAUCAGCACUGAAAAAACGAUCUGAUGUGAUUGGUCAAAAUACCAGUUAGUGGAAAGAAUAUCAGAAUUGGGCUGCCUGUCUCAACGCAGCCAGAGUCAAGUGAAUAUACUAUAAGUCAGUUCUAGUGUUUGUAGCAGUUUCUUUGAGUGAUAACAUACAGUGCCUUGCGAAAGUAUUCGGCCCCCUUGAACUUUGCGACCUUUUGCCACAUUUCAGGCUUCAAACAUAAAGAUAUAAAACUGUAUUUUUUUGUGAAGAAUCAACAACAAGUGGGACACAAUCAUGAAGUGGAACGACAUUUAUUGGAUAUUUCAAACUUUUUUAA